rnacentral:lncRNA from 10 species
CUUUGUGUUCUCUCCUCCCGGGGAGAGGCCGCGCCGCGCCUCCGCGUCUGCCCGCGCCGGGCUUCGGGGGCCUGGGGAGCCUGAGGCGGCCAGGAAGUGGGGCGAGGAAGGGCGGCCACACGGCCCGAGCUGGGAGUCCCACAGUCCCGCAGCGGCGACGCCGCCACCCGCCGAGUGCCGAGGCCCGGGGCCCACUCCCAGCCCAGCUCCAGGAGAGGCCGCGCCGGAGGACCGCGAGGACGGCGCCGCAGCGCCAGGUCGGGCUGAGGUAAGGGAGGAAAUGGAGCGAAAAGUGGCGGCGGGCAGAGGGCCCCGGGCGGGCGGAGAAUCGCUGACGAGGGCAUUUCGGAAGGAACUGAACCUAGGAGCACAGGGCUCCCUCCCGGGAAGGCAGGGCGUGACCCUGGAGCCGCCGGUCCCUCUUGCCGCGGCCCCAGGCGUGGCUGG